AUGAUUAUAUCACAUUUUCCAAAAUGUGUGGCAGUUUUUGCCCUCCUUGCUCUGAGUGUUGGUGCACUGGACACUUUUAUUGCUGCAGUAUAUGAGCAUGCGGUGAUAUUACCAAACAGAACAGAAACACCUGUUUCAAAAGAAGAAGCUUUGCUCCUGAUGAACAAGAACAUAGAUGUUUUGGAGAAAGCAGUUAAGCUGGCAGCGAAGCAGGGUGCACAUAUCAUUGUGACCCCAGAAGAUGGAAUCUAUGGUUGGAUCUUCACCAGGGAGAGCAUUUACCCCUAUCUAGAGGAUAUACCAGACCCUGGAGUGAACUGGAUUCCAUGUAGAGACCCCUGGAGAAAUCACUAAAAUAUAGUAAGUUUGAGGAAAUGUCUAUUGAAUUAGAUUCGGCAACACACCAGUGCAACAAAGACUCAGCUGCCUGGCCAAGGACAACUCUAUCUAUGUCGUGGCUAAUAUUGGGGACAAGAAGCCAUGCAAUGCCAGUGACUCUCAGUGUCCCCCUGAUGGCCGUUACCAAUACAACACUGAUGUGGUGUUUGAUUCUCAGGGAAAACUGUUGGCACGCUACCAUAAGCAUGGUACAACACGCUGCCCCUCCUCUCGGCUGUUCCCUUCCAUUCAGCAUGGGCCAAGGCCAUGGGAGUCAAUCUACUUGCUGCAAAUACCCACAACACCAGCAUGCACAUGACAGGGAGUGGAAUCUACGCCCCAGAAGCAGUCAAGGUGUACCACUAUGACAUGGAAACAGAGAGUGGUCAGCUGUUGCUAUCAGAACUGAAGUCUCGGCCCCGCCGUGAGCCCACCUACCCUGCAGCUGUUGACUGGCAUGCGUAUGCCAGCAGUGUCAAGCCAUUUUCCUCUGAACAGUCAGAUUUUCUGGGGAUGAUUUAUUUUGAUGAGUUUACCUUCACCAAGCUUAAGAGAAAUACAGGAAAUUACACAGCUUGCCAGAAAGAUCUGUGUUGUCACUUAACUUACAAGAUGUCUGAGAAGCGAACAGACGAGAUCUAUGCCCUAGGUGCUUUUGAUGGACUGCACACAGUAGAAGGCCAAUAUUACUUACAGAUAUGUGCAUUACUGAAGUGUCAAACCACUGACCUGGAAACGUGUGGAGAACCUGUGGGGUCAGCUUUUACCAAGUUUGAAGACUUCUCCCUCAGUGGCACAUUUGGAACGCGUUAUGUUUUCCCACAGAUCAUUCUAAGUGGGAGUCAGCUUGCCCCUGAAAGACAUUAUGAGAUUUCAAGAGAUGGACGCUUGAGGAGCCGAAGUGGAGCCCCUUUGCCUGUCUUAGUUAUGGCCCUGUAUGGAAGAGUGUUUGAGAAGGACCCUCCACGCUUAGGGCAGGGAUCUGGGAAAUUCCAGUGA
ensembl:lncRNA VNN3P vanin 3, pseudogene